rnacentral:lncRNA from 1 species
GUGGAUCUGUCUCUGAUUGGAGACGACAGUGGAUCUGUCUCUGAUUGGAGACGACAGUGGGUAGUGGGUAGUGUCCCGUUGGGUUCCGGUCAGAGGUAGUGUCCCCGUUGGGUUCUGGUCAGAGGUAGUGUCCCGUUGGGUUCUGGUCAGAGGUAGUGUCCCGUUGGGUUCUGGUCAGAGGUAGUGUCCCGUUGGGUUCUGGUCAGAGGUAGUGUCCCCGUUGGGUUCUGGUCAGAGGUAGUGUCCCCGUUGGGUUCUGGUCAGAGAUAGUGUCCCGGUCAGAGGUAGUGUCCCGUUGGGUUCUGGUCAGAGGUAGUGUCCCGUUGGGCUCUGGUCAGAGGUAGUGUCCCCGUCGGGUUCUGGUCAGAGGUAGUGUCCCGUUGGGUUCUGGUCAGAGGUAGUGUCCCCGUUGGGCUCUGGUCAGAGGUAGUGUCCCCGUCGGGUUCUGGUCAGAGGUAGUGUCCCCGUUGGGUUCUGGUCAGAGGUAGUGUCCCCGUCGGGUGUAGUGCGUCAUUAGAGACGGGGAGUUACGUCACUCUGACAGCGAACUGAGACACUGCAGCACGUCAACACUGUUCUCUUUUGAUGUGAGAUCAGGAAACCAUGAAAAAGGAAAACAUUAUUUCAUCGUUUAGGGAAAGAAAGGGGAAUUCCCCCUGACUGACUUUCUCUCUCUCUCUUUCUCUUUCUUUGUCUCUCUGUCUCUGCCUCUCUCUCUCCCUCUUCCUCUCGGUGUCUCUCUCUCUCUCUCUCUCUCUCUCUCUCUCUCUCUCUCUCUCUCUCUCUCUCUCUCUCUCUCUCUCUCUCUCUCUCUCUCUGCCUCUCUCUCUCCCUCUUCCUCUCGGUGUCUCUCUCUCUCUCUCUCUCUCUCUCUCUCUGCCUCUCUCUCU